rnacentral:rRNA from 1 species
GAUGAACGCUGGCGGCGUGCCUAAUACAUGCAAGUCGAGCGAACGGACGAGAAGCUUGCUUCUCUGAUGUUAGCGGCGGACGGGUGAGUAACACGUGGAUAACCUACCUAUAAGACUGGGAUAACUUCGGGAAACCGGAGCUAAUACCGGAUAAUAUUUUGAACCGCAUGGUUCAAAAGUAAAAGACGGUCUUGCUGUCACUUAUAGAUGGAUCCGCGCUGCAUUAGCUAGUUGGUAAGGUAACGGCUUACCAAGGCAACGAUGCAUAGCCGACCUGAGAGGGUGAUCGGCCACACUGGAACUGAGACACGGUCCAGACUACUACGGGAGGCAGCAGUAGGGAAUCGUCCGCAAUGGGCGGAAGCCUGACGGAGCAGCGCCGCGUGAGUGAUGAAGGUCUUCGGAUCGUAAAACUGUGUUAUUAGGGAAGAACAGAUGUGUAAGGAACUGUGCACAUCUUGACGGUACCUAAUCAGAAAGCCACGGCUAACUACGUG